rnacentral:rRNA from 1 species
UUUUUUAGCACUUUGUCAAAAGCAGGCUCCGAAUUCGCCCUUAGAGUUUGAUCAUGGCUCAGAUUGAACGCUGGCGGAAUGCUUUACACAUGCAAGUCGAGCGGCAGCGCGGGGCAACCUGGCGGCGAGCGGCGAACGGGUGAGUAACACAUCGGAACGUGCCCAGACGUGGGGGAUAGCCCGGCGAAAGCCGGAUUAAUACCGCAUACGAUCUGAGGAUGAAAGCGGGGGAUCGCAAGACCUCGCGCGUUUGGAGCGGCCGAUGGCAGAUUAGGUAGUUGGUGGGGUAAAGGCUUACCAAGCCUGCGAUCUGUAGCUGGUCUGAGAGGAUGAUCAGCCACACUGGGGCUGAGACACGGCCCAGACUCCUACGGGAGGCAGCAGUGGGGAAUUUUGGACAAUGGGCGCAAGCCUGAUCCAGCCAUUCCGCGUGCAGGACGAAGGCCUUCGGGUUGUAAACUGCUUUUGUACGGAACGAAAAGCCCUUCUCUAAUACAGAGGGGUCAUGACGGUACCGUAAGAAUAAGCACCGGCUAACUACGUGCCAGCAGCCGCGGUAAUACGUAGGGUGCAAGCGUUAAUCGGAAUUACUGGGCGUAAAGCGUGCGCAGGCGGUGAUGUAAGACAGAGGUGAAAUCCCCGGGCUCAACCUGGGAACUGCCUUUGUGACUGCAUCGCUGGAGUGCGGCAGAGGGGGAUGGAAUUCCGCGUGUAGCAGUGAAAUGCGUAGAUAUGCGGAGGAACGCCGAUGGCGAAGGCAAUCCCCUGGGCCUGCACUGACGCUCAUGCACGAAAGCGUGGGGAGCAAACAGGAUUAGAUACCCUGGUAGUCCACGCCCUAAACGAUGUCAACUGG